rnacentral:rRNA from 1 species
AGUCGAACGGCAGCAUAGAGAGCUUGCUCUCUGAUGGCGAGUGGCGAACGGGUGAGUAACAUAUCGGAACGUACCUAGUAAUGGGGAACAACUAAUCGAAAGGUUAGCUAAUACCGCAUACGACCUACGGGUGAAAGCAGGGGAUCUUCGGACCUUGCGUUAUUAGAGCGGCCGAUAUCUGAUUAGGUAGUUGGUGGGGUAAAAGCCUACCAAGCCGACGAUCAGUAGCUGGUCUGAGAGGACGAUCAGCCACACUGGAACUGAGACACGGUCCAGACUCCUACGGGAGGCAGCAGUGGGGAAUUUUGGACAAUGGGGGCAACCCUGAUCCAGCCAUUCCGCGUGAGUGAAGAAGGCCUUCGGGUUGUAAAGCUCUUUCGCAAGAGAAGAAAUCUUGCUAUCUAAUAAAUAGUAAGUAUGACGGUAUCUUGACAAGAAGCACCGGCUAACUACGUGCCAGCAGCCGCGGUAAUACGUAGGGUGCAAGCGUUAAUCGGAAUUACUGGGCGUAAAGCGUGCGCAGGCAGUUUUAUAAGUCAGAUGUGAAAUCCCCGAGCUCAACUUGGGAACUGCGUUUGAAACUAUAAGACUAGAGUGUGUCAGAGGGGGGUA